GGAGGAACGAGAUGUUGGCCCGGUUCAAUUAGAAAGUAGUGCUUCUGUCUUACUAGAAGUUCUAUUGUUUUAAUUGAGCCGUGCCAAUAUCACGUUCGUUGCU
rfam:Musa acuminata subsp. malaccensis Doubled-haploid Pahang (DH-Pahang) genomic chromosome, chr5